UCGUUUAAAAACUACCCAAAAAAUCUCACUUACAAUUAGUUCGAUGUUCGGAUGUGUGCGGUAUAUUUUUCAUACAGUUUUGAUAAUAUUUAUCAGCAUCAGCAUCGACCUGACUUAAAAUAUUCAUGAAAAUUCAGCGGCAAAAAAUAUAACAUGAGCCACAGGGAUUCGCUGCUGUAAAUGCGUUCACUCUCAUGCAGUAUGAAUUCAGGAUAAAAGCUCGAUGCGGCACUCGUGUAAUGCCGUUUGCAUAAAAUUUACAAACUUGUAAAAACGAACGAAAGAAAAAAAACUACGUUCCGCCUAUAUUUCGAGUUUACGAAAUGAGAUAUAAUUAAUUUGAUACUUUCCCGGGACUGGAAUCCCGGAUCUACAUAAGAAAAAUAUUUCGAUCGGUUCGUGCGUGAUGACGGUCGAAAUUUCGUGGAAGUAAUAAACCGCCAUACAGGUAUUGUGUACUGUAGCAAAUUGAUAAACUGACGAUAAGAAGAUCUAGAUUUGAAAUUAGCACUAACUUUUUUUCCUCGCAUAUUUGGCGUGGUUCUCCCUAAAUGGAGUAUGGAAAAAAGUCGGUUGUCACUAGUUACCGAUUUAGAAAGUGAACAACUGUCACUACCGUAUAACAAAAUGUGAGACACAUGAAUCACGGACUAUAAUAUCUCUAUAUCUCAUGCAUCUCACCCAUCCCGUGCGUUUAAGGAGUCAACAGUUAAUUUCGCGCAACGUGGGUGUCAAAUCGAAUACAUAAUAAUUCUAUAUAAAAUCACCUCACUUACAUAAGGAUAUUAAAAUAUCUUGUUUAUAGAUCCUGUUCAAAUAUCACACAAUAUCGACACCGCGUGAUGACGUCAAAAGCUCCCAUGAUUAAUAUACGAUUAUUAGAUGUUAAUACUGUACAUGUCCGAUCGAGCUAUGGCUGCACUACUGCGAGAUGAAAGUCGGUAACGUGAAGACUUGCGAUUUUUACUCGAUCUUUUUCUGGAAAUAAUCGAAGCUAUCCGUACGAGAAUGUGGAAAAAACUUCAUUUCCAAAUUUGGAUUUAUAAUAGAGACGUAAAAAAAUGAUUGAUGUUUGAAAUUCCAGGUGUUGCCUGAGACUGACGAGUUUUGCUGCAAGUUUCAGGAAUUUCAACUAACUUCUUUAGCGUCCCAUCAGAGCUGGGUGAGACAUUAUUGCAGCAUUGGAAACAAUCCCACGCUCGAAUCGCGUCUCUGAAGAUCAUCGAAAUCAUUGCGGAUUUAUAACAUAAACACGACUAAAAUGGAAUGACGUCGAAGGACAUCCAGAGUCCACGUCGUCGUUACGCUUCGGUACACAUACGAUAUGAUGUUCAAUUAACUCUCGCACUCUCGUUUAUCAGAUGAUCCUUCGCUGCAGUUGUUCAUAAAUUACAUCUUUACGCCUUCUGUUUUUCAGUUUUUCGCAGUUCGAAGGAAAAAAGUGUGUUACGAGUGCGUGCUUUAUACUACGACGCGGAGUGUCGAGUCGGCGCUUCAACUAAAGCGUUUCGAUCCAUUUGACUACGCCGACUCUCCUUCUGAGCUUGCGCUGCCACUCCGAACCGGUGAACCACCGGAACCCAGAAGGAAGAACCGCCUAGGGUGAAGGGCGAAGGGUCGCGCGCCUCUCCCAGUUUAUCACCCAGAAAGAUGCGAGGCUCCCAGUUUUAACUUUUAAGCUGGACCUACGCUGCCGCUGUGCACAUCGCUCUCAGGGUUCGUCCAGAUGCGCAGGACUCCCGCGCCCGCUUACGUCACUGACCCAUAAUACAACACGUCCAUUCGUCUGCGAACUAAUCCCCGAGAGUUGUAUCGAUGAGUACGGUAUAUGAUACAUGCGUAUAAUCCGUUAUACAUAUGUAUAUCAAGUACCUAGGUAUACCUAUGGAGUAUAAAUAUGAAAGCAGUAUACGGUAUCAGCUGUUGAUCAUUCGACAUCACGCGAUUCACGUUUUUCAUGAGCUUCACGAACAACAAGUCGGCUCCGCAGGAGCGGCGUUGAUUCAGUUUUUCGUCCCAACUUGUUGAUUGCGAUUAGAUUUCAUUGAUGGAACCGCGAUCAAGAAUACACAUGUAUACGUGCAUAUAUAUGUGUUUAGCUGGUACAGCUGUUAGUAUGAUAAUGAGCGUAAACUCACGCUCGGAAUUAUUUUUUCUUCUCAUCCAUUAGGAAAAAGCUUUUUUUGAGAUGACUCGCGUGGGUUGUUUGAUGACUGACAAUAAAACAAAAAGCUUUGUCAGAUUGAUACUUAAUGACCAAUUCAUUGUUUUUAGUUCCUAGAGAUAUCUAUUGGAUGUGAAUAAUAUCUGAUCGAGAUUUGACUGUAUUUAGGGCCCGAGAACUUUGAUAAUUAUACUAAUUUUAUUAUAUCCCGAAACUUCUGAUGCGGAAAACGCGAUCAGAAUAUUCAAAUCAAAGUUAUAAUGUUCGCCGAAAUCUUAAUUACGCUUCGCUCAGUUUCGCGAUUUGAAAAAACAAAAUUUCAAACGGUAAAUCUUUUUGUACUCUAACCAAAAGCUAAUACAAUUAUAUCUACUCGAGGAAUUCCCAUAACGGGGGAAACGAAAAAACACCGCGCUUUCCUUGAAUAUAAGUUCACGUCAUUUUAUGGCAAACCUUUAUUCUUUAUCAGAUUAUUUACAUUUCGUUAGCGCAAGUCGUUCUUUAGAAAGCAUUCAACUCGUUCGUUUCAAUCUGAAAGUACGAUUUUGAAUUACCGCACACUUAAAUUAUAAAGAGACGCCGUGAAGUGUUGCGCCAAGUGUACAUUAGGGGUGAUGUGGAGGCCAUAAAGCUCUCCUCACUCUUCCUCGUAUCUUUCAGUAGUAAUACGCGGUACGUGUCAGGCAAUGCUGCUUUAAAACGAGUUGCAUAUCUUUAGGGUGGCUUUAUACUACGUCAAACAGCCAAAGUUUGUAAACUGCGUUGUAUGACGAGACUCCACCCUACAUACCUCCUUGGCACUCUUAACAAUAUGGGUACCGCACAGCAAUUCGAUUAUCGCUUUGUCAGUAGAUUCAGCAUUUUCUGGCAUGGUCCGUUAAGGCAAAAAAAAAAGAUUCCACGUUUUUUUAGUAAUUUUAUUACCUAACAAAGUCUGGUACGAUGUAUGAAAUAACUUCCAUUUGUCAGAAUAGAUCGUGAAUGGCGUCUUUUCAAAAAAUUUGCCGGCGAAUAGGGCGCAUUUGUCACCGGCUUCGGCCAGCUAUUGAAAAGUUUGGAAUCGUUCUUCGAACAAUUCGCUCAUCAUCUUAUUAUUAUUUCUGUGGAGCUUUUGUGGGUUCAAAAAUUUUCAAGCGAAUGGAAGCUUGCGCCUCGACUUGCGCUAUAACGAUGUGGCUUCCAGCUCCUAAUAAUUGCAAAUGGCAAUUUCGUUUUAAUCACUGUACUGAUGCAAUCG